AAGUCCAGGGUUCUUUAUAAACCUAAUCCGAAUUUGCACUUCGGGCUCUUGGACUCUUGCGCUGAAACCUA
rnacentral:tRNA from 1 species